UGGGGGAUAUUGCACAAUGGGCGAAAGCCUGAUGCAGCGACGCCGCGUGGGGGAUGAAGGCUUUCGGGUUGUAAACCUCUUUCGCUAUCGAACAAGGCCCGCUUAGGGUGGGUUGAGGGUAGGUGGAGAAGAAGCGCCGGCUAACUACGUGCCAGCAGCCGCGGUAAUACGUAGGGCGCGAGCGUUGUCCGGAAUUAUUGGGCGUAAAGGGCUUGUAGGCGGCUUGUUGCGCCUGCUGUGAAAACGCGGGGCUUAACUUCGCGCGUGCAGUGGGUACGGGCAGGCUUGGGUGUGGUAGGGGUGACUGGAAUUCCAGGUGUAGCGGUGGAAUGCGCAGAUAUCAGGAGGAACACCGAUGGCGAAGGCAGGUCACUGGGCCAUUACUGACGCUGAGGAGCGAAAGCAUGGGUAGCGAACAGG
rnacentral:rRNA from 1 species